UCUCGAUUAGUAUAGUGGUCAGUAUGCCAGCUUGUCAUGGAACAAUGGUCCAAUUCGCUGGAGACCGGGGUUCAAUUCCCCGAUCGAGAG